CUGUAGGGUGCCUGCACUCUGAUGGAGCUCAGAGCUGUAUGGCCUUGUCUUUUUGCUGCCCUGGGCUCCAGACCUGUUCUCUUGCCUCUCCUUGGCUGCUGAUGCCCUAGGGCUGCCAGCCCUCGUGGUGCUGCUGGGUGUGCAGGUUGGUGAGAGCCCUGCUUGUGCUGUGGUCACUACAAGCCCCUGGUUCCUGACCCUGUUCUGCCUGAGGCUGGAGCCCUGCCACAGCUGCUGAAAUUACAUAUUUGGAAAGUGCAGCAGGAAAAAUUGACUUUGAGCGUUUGAGAGGGAAGCAGAUGCAUCUCCUUCAUUAAGGAAAGAGAUGAUGCAAAGCCACCAUGGAGCUGUCUGAGGGGCAUCCCCUCCGAAGAUGUACCCGCGUGUCCAGGGAGCCUCGGGCUGAGUUCUGCAUUGAAGAGUGUAAACAGUGUGAUGGGAAGUUCAGAAACCCAGUUUGUUCUGGAAAAGAUGAUUCGGUCUCCAGCAGGGAACCAGCCAGGAGAAGACUGAUCAGGAAUGUGAUGAAGCGCUGUGUUAGCAAGGCACUGCGGCCCAAGGAGCGCUUUGUGAUGAGCUGUAGGGUUUGAUCUCUUCAGCUUCACAAGGAGCUUGUUUAAAGAGGGAAAUCCUGACCUUGUUCCAGCACAACCCUUUACCUAACUGGACAUGCUUUGGCAGCCAGGGUGCUGCACUUUGUGACCAGGCCAGCAGUAGGAAAUCUUUCACCUCUCUUCAGGAUUACAGCCUCCCAGACCAGGAAGAAAUUAUACUUUAACUGGAUGUGCUCUGGUCAUUUUUCCAGCCAUUGGGUGUUAUCUCAGUGGUGAGUCUAACACAGAACAUGUUGAAGCUCAGCAGUGCUGCUCUGGCUGAAUGGUUCUGCCACCAAAGACUGAAGAUGUCUUUGGACUUUGUGACACUAAGCAAAAACAAAGGACAUGUUUUGGGGUUUGAAGUUUUGAUAUGUGAAGUUUUUCACUCAGACCAUAUGCUUUGAGGUUUAGUUCUUUGGGCAUCUGUACAAAAAGCUGCAUCAUUUCUGGAAAUCAGUUUUCAAAGUGGUUGCCUUAGUUUUGAUUGAAAAAAAGCAACCCAACAAAAAUCCCCAAAGCUGUGACUGCAAGAUUUGUGCUAACAGUUUUAUCUUCAAGGACUCUGUGGCAGAUCCUACUGGGACCAGCUGAUGUCUGUGGGGUGCUACACAGGGCCAUUUUAAUAUCAAGAAGCCAGUGAAAGCGCCUGCACUCUUCUGAGAUUUUGUUUAAUCUCGAGGAUGUUUCACACCAUGUCUGUGUGCUCUCCCUGCACAUUGUGAUGAUCUGAGUAGUGAGAGAUGGCUGCUCGGGCUCAUCCUGCCGGGCACAGCUGUGCUCACAGCCUCGUUCAGGCUGCCGGCCACUCGUGUACGCAAGAGGCAAUGUGAUGUGCACGGUGCAUGUGUCCCUCCCAGGCUUCUGCUCCCAGUGUGAUGCAGGGACUGAUUUGACUCGCUUGAUCACAGAGCGAGUUCCCAGGGGAGGAUAAAACCUGUCAGAGCAGUCAGGAGACUCUGACUUAAAAAGCAAACAAUUGCAGUUUUAAAUCUGAAAUCAAGAGAUUGAUUGACAAGGAGGACAGUUUCCAAAUGCUGACCCUGUGAGCUCCCGGCGGGGUUGCGGGCUGCCCCGGGGCUGGGUGCUGCAGUGGCGAUGGCAGCCGGUGACAGCCCUGCCCCAUGCAGGAUGUGCCACUGCUGUGCCCAGCCACCAGGCAGCCCCUGUGGCAUCCACUGUACUUCUAGGAAAUGAUGGCUUUCAGGAAAAUGGAGUUUUCUGCUCCCUGGAGGCAUUAAGCAUGCAAAUACAAAGCUGCCUCUGGGGUCUUGUAGACAGUGUUUCUGCCUGCUGUUGUUUCCCCUGUUUCUUGCUCUCAGCAGGGGAAAUAUGUGCACUCAGGCAGAAGCAGGGCCCUGCAAAGGCACCAUGCUCCUGUUCAAGCUUGUCACCCAGACACAUUUGGAAGCAGUUGCUGCUUGAAGCCUGCAGACAAAUUUGUGCAUCCAGAGGGGCUAUGCUGAAACCUUUUGGGAGCGCCAUUGCCCGCUGCUGCUGCUCUCCUUGUGCUGGGCUGGGGACAUGAGCCCCUGUCACUGUUGCUGCCACUGGUGUCCCUGUGGCACUGGUGCUGGUGAGCUGCAGUGCCAUGGGCGAGGUGGAUGCUCCUGAAGGCAGAACCGCUUCCUGACCAUCGCACACGAGUGUGCUAAGCAGAAUGGGGAGCUGCCCAUGCUUCACUGUUAGAGAUAUGGCCAUGAUUUAUGGGUGGAAAAAGAACACUGAACUUCUCUGUAGCUUCAGGAAGGAUGUGCCUCCUUCCCCUUCAAGUGACGUAAUCACCAACUUAUGGGUUUUAUUAAAGUAAUUCCAUUUCUGAGCUGAAGAACAGCAACUUGAAUAGUUUUCACUCAACUAAGAAUGGAAAACGGACACAAUGGGGAGAGAUACUGCCAGCAAGUGUUUAAUGUUAAUGCUUUAUUUCAGUAAUAACUUCUCAUUGUUAGUGAAAUAGUAUGAAAUAAGUCAAGAUGAGAUGAUUUUUUCGUAGCUUGAAAA